AUUGAACGCUGGCGGCAGGCCUAGCACAUGCAAGUCGAGCGGAUGAAGGGAGCUUGCUCCUGGAUUCAGCGGCGGACGGGUGAGUAAUGCCUAGGAAUCUGCCUGGUAGUGGGGGAUAACGUCCGGAAACGGGCGCUAAUACCGCAUACGUCCUGAGGGAGAAAGUGGGGGAUCUUCGGACCUCACGCUAUCAGAUGAGCCUAGGUCGGAUUAGCUAGUUGGUGGGGUAAAGGCCUACCAAGGCGACGAUCCGUAACUGGUCUGAGAGGAUGAUCAGUCACACUGGAACUGAGACACGGUCCAGACUCCUACGGGAGGCAGCAGUGGGGAAUAUUGGACAAUGGGCGAAAGCAUGAUCCAGCCAUGCCGCGUGUGUGAAGAAGGUCUUCGGAUUGUAAAGCACUUUAAGUUGGGAGGAAGGGCAGUAAGUUAAUACCUUGCUGUUUUGACGUUACCAACAGAAUAAGCACCGGCUAACUUCGUG
rnacentral:rRNA from 1 species